ACAAAAAUUCCUGACAAAGCAACCUAUGGAAGCGUUUAUUCGGGGCUCUGGUUUGAACGUGCGAUCCAUCAUGGCAGAGAGGCAGCAUGGCAGAAAGCGUCCGCUGCUAGCCACACAGCACACGGUUUUCAAAUCAGCUGCGUGCCAGAGAAGCUUUGCCCCAGCGCACAGGCAGUGAACAGGCCCACGGUGUUCGAGGAUUACACUCUACUUGGAGAAACGGUACAUAAGUCAGCUAUAACCACAUAGUUCUGGCCCGAUGAAGACAAAUUCCUCUAUUGUGACCUCUUAAGCCUGAAUGUCACGAGUGAAAAGGCAAACACAAGCUGAUUCCUAAAGCAGCAUGGCAGAGUGAUUGUGUUCUCCCUUGGUCCUCACUCAGUAGCCUGUGGACGGAGGAGACACUUCCUGUACUCCCAGUCACACGAUGCUCAUUAAGCUGCCUGAGACUUUAAAGCCAGAGUGAGGCAUUGGUGAAUCCCACGGUCUGUGAGAGGCCUUGUUUCAGAGAACAGCUCCCGAGGAAAGACGCUGAGGUGAUCUGAAUGAGAAGCAUUCCCCGUAGGCUCAGUAUAAAGAGAUGGGCUCUGGUCUUUGAGAUUGGAAGAACCAUUUAUCUUGACUACACGAAAACUCUGAUGAUUGUCAGCCCUGGCCGGAAGGUCAGUGCAGCCCAGUGUGCCUGUUGCUAGGAGACAACCACAGGGCUGUCCUUCCAAAACUUCUGCCACUUCCGACCUUUGCCGGUGAUGCCAUGAUUUGACAUCUGCGCGCUGCUCAGUUACUUCUUCCUUCAAUUAAUUACGUCAAGGCCAGUCAUCGAAAUGCUCUAAAGAGCUAUUCUUUCAGGCCAGUGGUGUGUGUCACAAGGUGUGGGAGCAGUUAUCUCCUUAAGUGGUCGGCCUUAUUACUAGUAUGCCAAAGGAAAAGAAGUAAGAAGAGAUGCUGUGAAUCACACAGCAACCACACCAGAAUGCCACAGAACAGGGCUAAUGACAUUCUAACCCAAAGAGUGGCAGGAGCUCUCUCAAAAAGGCGGAGAUGCAGACAGACACCACAGCCAGGCCCAAUGUGUUUCCUGAUUAUGGCUGGGUUACCUGCAGCAAAAUCUGUUCUGCAAAAGAAGGGAUCUCGAGAGAGAAAACCGGCCUGCUA